GGGUUGUGAGGUUAAGCGACUAAGCGUACACGGUGGAUGCCCUGGCAGUCAGAGGCGAUGAAGGGCGUGCUAAUCUGCGAUAAGCGCCGGUAAGGUGAUAUGAACCGUUAUAACCGGCGAUACCCGAAUGGGGAAACCCAGUGUGAUUCGUCACACUAUCAUUAACUGAAUCCAUAGGUUAAUGAGGCGAACCGGGGGAACUGAAACAUCUAAGUACCCCGAGGAAAAGAAAUCAACCGAGAUUCCCCCAGUAGCGGCGAGCGAACGGGGAGGAGCCCAGAGCCUGAAUCAGCAUGUGUGUUAGUGGAAGCGUCUGGAAAGGCGCGCGAUACAGGGUGACAGCCCCGUACACAAAAGCGCAUGUGCUGUGAGCUCGAUGAGUAGGGCGGGACACGUGGUAUCCUGUCUGAAUAUGGGGGGACCAUCCUCCAAGGCUAAAUACUCCUGACUGACCGAUAGUGAACCAGUACCGUGAGGGAAAGGCGAAAAGAACCCCGGCGAGGGGAGUGAAAAAGAACCUGAAACCGUGUACGUACAAGCAGUGGGAGCACAGGUUUACCUGUGUGACUGCGUACCUUUUGUAUAAUGGGUCAGCGACUUAUAUUCUGUAGCAAGGUUAACCGAAUAGGGGAGCCGGAGGGAAACCGAGUCUUAAUUGGGCGUUAAGUUGCAGGGUAUAGACCCGAAACCCGGUGAUCUAGCCAUGGGCAGGUUGAAGGUUGGGUAACACUAACUGGAGGACCGAACCGACUAAUGUUGAAAAAUUAGCGGAUGACCUGUGGCUGGGGGUGAAAGGCCAAUCAAACCGGGAGAUAGCUGGUUCUCCCCGAAAGCUAUUUAGGUAGCGCCUCGUGAAUUCAUCUCCGGGGGUAGAGCACUGUUUCGGCUAGGGGGCCAUCCCGGCUUACCAACCCGAUGCAAACUGCGAAUACCGGAGAAUGUUAUCACGGGAGACACACGGCGGGUGCUAACGUCCGUCGUGAAGAGGGAAACAACCCAGACCGCCAGCUAAGGUCCCAAAGUCAUGGUUAAGUGGGAAACGAUGUGGGAAGGCCCAGACAGCCAGGAUGUUGGCUUAGAAGCAGCCAUCAUUUAAAGAAAGCGUAAUAGCUCACUGGUCGAGUCGGCCUGCGCGGAAGAUGUAACGGGGCUAAACCAUGCACCGAAGCUGCGGCAGCGACGCUGAUGCGUUGUUGGGUAGGGGAGCGUUCUGUAAGCCUGCGAAGGUGGCCUGUGAGGGUUGCUGGAGGUAUCAGAAGUGCGAAUGCUGACAUAAGUAACGAUAAAGCGGGUGAAAAGCCCGCUCGCCGGAAGACCAAGGGUUCCUGUCCAACGUUAAUCGGGGCAGGGUGAGUCGACCCCUAAGGCGAGGCCGAAAGGCGUAGUCGAUGGGAAACGGGUUAAUAUUCCCGUACUUGGUGUUACUGCGAAGGGGGGACGGAGAAGGCUAUGUUGGCCGGGCGACGGUUGUCCCGGUUUAAGCGUGUAGGCUGGUUUUCCAGGCAAAUCCGGAAAAUCAAGGCUGAGGCGUGAUGACGAGGCACUACGGUGCUGAAGCAACAAAUGCCCUGCUUCCAGGAAAAGCCUCUAAGCAUCAGGUAACAUCAAAUCGUACCCCAAACCGACACAGGUGGUCAGGUAGAGAAUACCAAGGCGCUUGAGAGAACUCGGGUGAAGGAACUAGGCAAAAUGGUGCCGUAACUUCGGGAGAAGGCACGCUGACACGUAGGUGAAGUGAUUUACUCAUGGAGCUGAAGUCAGUCGAAGAUACCAGCUGGCUGCAACUGUUUAUUAAAAACACAGCACUGUGCAAACACGAAAGUGGACGUAUACGGUGUGACGCCUGCCCGGUGCCGGAAGGUUAAUUGAUGGGGUCAGCGCAAGCGAAGCUCCUGAUCGAAGCCCCGGUAAACGGCGGCCGUAACUAUAACGGUCCUAAGGUAGCGAAAUUCCUUGUCGGGUAAGUUCCGACCUGCACGAAUGGCGUAAUGAUGGCCAGGCUGUCUCCACCCGAGACUCAGUGAAAUUGAACUCGCUGUGAAGAUGCAGUGUACCCGCGGCAAGACGGAAAGACCCCGUGAACCUUUACUAUAGCUUGACACUGAACAUUGAGCCUUGAUGUGUAGGAUAGGUGGGAGGCUUUGAAGUGUGGACGCCAGUCUGCAUGGAGCCGACCUUGAAAUACCACCCUUUAAUGUUUGAUGUUCUAACGUGGACCCGUUACCCGGGUUGCGGACAGUGUCUGGUGGGUAGUUUGACUGGGGCGGUCUCCUCCUAAAGAGUAACGGAGGAGCACGAAGGUUGGCUAAUCCUGGUCGGACAUCAGGAGGUUAGUGCAAUGGCAUAAGCCAGCUUGACUGCGAGCGUGACGGCGCGAGCAGGUGCGAAAGCAGGUCAUAGUGAUCCGGUGGUUCUGAAUGGAAGGGCCAUCGCUCAACGGAUAAAAGGUACUCCGGGGAUAACAGGCUGAUACCGCCCAAGAGUUCAUAUCGACGGCGGUGUUUGGCACCUCGAUGUCGGCUCAUCACAUCCUGGGGCUGAAGUAGGUCCCAAGGGUAUGGCUGUUCGCCAUUUAAAGUGGUACGCGAGCUGGGUUUAGAACGUCGUGAGACAGUUCGGUCCCUAUCUGCCGUGGGCGCUGGAGAACUGAGGGGGGCUGCUCCUAGUACGAGAGGACCGGAGUGGACGCAUCACUGGUGUUCGGGUUGUCAUGCCAAUGGCACUGCCCGGUAGCUAAAUGCGGAAGAGAUAAGUGCUGAAAGCAUCUAAGCACGAAACUUGCCCCGAGAUGAGUUCUCCCUGAGACUUAAAGUCUCCUGAAGGAACGUUGAAGACGACGACGUUGAUAGGCCGGGUGUGUAAGCGCAGCGAUGCGUUGAGCUAACCGGUACUAAUGAACCGUGAGGCUUAACCUUACAACGCCGAAG
rnacentral:rRNA from 1 species